UGGGGAAUUUUUCGCAAUGAGUGAAAGCUUGACGAAGCAAUGCCACGUGGAGGAAGAAGGCCUUAGGGUUGUAAUCUCCUUUUCUCAUUGAAGAAGUUAUGACGGUAUUUGAGGAAUAAGCAUCGGCUAAUCUCGUGCCAGCAGCCGCGGUAAUACGAGAGAUGCGAGCGUUAUCCGGAAUUAUUGGGCGUAAAGAGUUUGUAGGUGGUUUAGUGUGUUUGGUGUUAAAUGUUAACGCUUAACGUUGAAUUUGCACUAAAAACUAUUAGACUUGAGUAUGAUAGGGGCAAAGGGAAUUCCCAGUGUAGCGGUGAAAUGCGUAGAUAUUGGGAAGAACACCAACGGCGAAAGCACUUUGCUAGGUUAAUACUGACACUGAGAAACGAAAGCUAAGGUAUCG
rnacentral:rRNA from 1 species